rnacentral:rRNA from 1 species
CAGCCGCCGCGGGAAUACGAGGGGGGCAAGCGUUGUUCGGAAUUAUUGGGCGUAAAGGGUGCGUAGGCGGCUUGACAAGUCUUGUGUGAAAUCUAUGGGCUCAACCCAUAGUCUGCACGGGAAACUGUCGGGCUUGAGAAUGGGAGAGGUGAGUGGAAUUUCCGGUGUAGCGGUGAAAUGCGUAGAUAUCGGAAGGAACACCUGUGGCGAAAGCGGCUCACUGGACCAUUUCUGACGCUGAUGCACGAAAGCUAGGGGAGCAAAUGGGAUUAGAUACCCCCGUAGUCCCUGUCUCUUAACA